rnacentral:rRNA from 1 species
AACGAACGCUGGCGGCAUGCCUAACACAUGCAAGUCGAACGAGACCUUCGGGUCUAGUGGCGCACGGGUGCGUAACGCGUGGGAACCUGCCCUUAGGUUCGGAAUAACUCCCCGAAAGGGGUGCUAAUACCGGAUAAUGUCUUCGGACCAAAGAUUUAUCGCCUUUGGAUGGGCCCGCGUUGGAUUAGCUUGUUGGUAGGGUAAAAGCCUACCAAGGCGACGAUCCAUAGCUGGUCUGAGAGGAUGAUCAGCCACACUGGGACUGAGACACGGCCCAGACUCCUACGGGAGGCAGCAGUGGGGAAUAUUGGACAAUGGGCGAGAGCCUGAUCCAGCAAUGCCGCGUGAGUGAUGAAGGCCUUAGGGUUGUAAAGCUCUUUUACCCGGGAUGAUAAUGACAGUACCGGGAGAAUAAGCUCCGGCUAACUCCGUG